rnacentral:lncRNA from 1 species
UUAAAUACACACCCAUACUCGAGUCCGAGCAUCAUAGGUUAUAAAUAUACUUUUCAGUGCAACAUAUUAAUCAAUGUUUCAUUCUAACUUACAUCUUGAAGUCAAUAAGGCAACUUGGAGAGCAAUGAUUAAAAGCCCCAAAAGAGCGUUCGAGGCAAGCAAUAACCAUUUUCAACUUCUUAUUUUCUAAAAGAUAACUAUAUGAGAAGAUGGGAAGUAAAAAAGUGCAGCACUGUCAAAAAGAUCAUCUGUGAUGUCAUUAAGAGGUCGAAAAUCAAACAUAAAAGAUGAGUCUCUCGCAACCGAACAUGGCAUUCUUCGUCAUGGAAAAUUGAAAAUGGCAACUUGUUUCUGUUUUUCUCCAACCAACGAAGUAUAGUGAUGUGCAGCAUCUAAAGCAAUGAACGUGAAGGGAGUUGGACAGACGUCUCGUUCUACUGAAGGCUUUCUUCCGUCUUCGUAUGUGAAGCCUUCAAAACCAUUGCAACUUCGAUUUCUGAAAGCGACAUCUAAACAGCAGGAUUACGAACUUGUUUUUUCCUUGUUCUUGAUAAUGUCUCCCUACCAAACAUGUCACAAGUGAUGCAAAGGUAAAACAUUCUAUACCUGGCAGAUUGUAAUGACCUAAAGGUUGCUUUCAUUAAUAUGGAUGAUUGAUGAAUAGCCAUUUGUGGAUAGCCUAUGCAAUACUAUAUUGCGAGUCCCAAGGAAAAACAGAA